GGGGUUGGGGCUCAGUGUUAGAGUGCUUGCCUAGCAAGCUGGAGGAACUGAGUUCAAUCCUCAGCACCA
rfam:Ictidomys tridecemlineatus contig010808, whole genome shotgun sequence.